rnacentral:rRNA from 1 species
GACAGAGGGGGCAAGCGUUGCUCGGAAUUACUGGGCGUAAAGCGUGCGCAGGCGGUUGUGCAAGACAGAUGUGAAAUCCCCGGGCUCAACCUGGGAACUGCAUUUGUGACUGCACGGCUAGAGUGUGUCAGAGGGGGGUAGAAUUCCACGUGUAGCAGUGAAAUGCGUAGAUAUGUGGAGGAAUACCGAUGGCGAAGGCAGCCCCCUGGGAUAACACUGACGCUCAUGCACGAAAGCGUGGGGAGCAAACAGG